GCGGAUAUGGUCAAAUGGUAAAAUCUCUCUUUGCCAAGGAGAAGAUGCGGGUUCGAUUCCCGCUAUCCGCC
rnacentral:tRNA from 1 species